AGCGAAUAUUGGGGGAAAAUUAAAGGGAUAUUGACACCUUUUUUCGUAGGCAAGUUUACUCUGUCAUACAAAUCUCCUGUAUGCAGACACGGCUAUGAGCAAGUGUGAAGCUGAGCAAAUGCUGAU
rnacentral:lncRNA from 1 species